AGUUUGUCCUUGGUCAUAUUGC
rnacentral:miRNA from 1 species